ACGCUGGCGGCGUGCCUAAUACAUGCAAGUAGAACGCUGAAGGAGGAGCUUGCUUCUCUGGAUGAGUUGCGAACGGGUGAGUAACGCGUAGGUAACCUGCCUGGUAGCGGGGGAUAACUAUUGGAAACGAUAGCUAAUACCGCACAACAGUAGAUGUUGCAUGACAUUUGCUUAAAAGGUGCAAUUGCAUCACUACCAGAUGGACCUGCGUUGUAUUAGCUAGUUGGUGGGGUAUCGGCUCACCAAGGCGACGAUACAUAGCCGACCUGAGAGGGUGAUCGGCCACACUGGGACUGAGACACGGCCCAGACUCCUACGGGAGGCAGCAAUAGGGAAUCUUCGGCAAUGGACGGAAGUCUGACCGAGCAACGCCGCGUGAGUGAAGAAGGCUUUCGGAUCGUAAAGCUCUGUUGUAAGAGAAGAACAGGUGUGAGAGUGGAAAGUUCACACUGUGACGGUAUCUUACCAGAAAGGGACGGCUAACUACGUGCCAGCAGCCGCGGUAAUACGUUGGUCCCGAGCGUUGUCCGGAUUUAUUGGGCGUAAAGCGAGCGCAGGCGGUUAGAUAAGUCUGAAGUUAAAGGCUGUGGCUUAACCAUAGUACGCUUUGGAAACUGUUUAACUUGAGUGCAAGAGGGGAGAGUGGAAUUCCAUGUGUAGCGGUGAAAUGCGUAGAUAUAUGGAGGAACACCGGUGGCGAAAGCGGCUCUCUGGCUUGUAACUGACGCUGAGGCUCGAAAGCGUGGGGAGCAAACAGGAUUAGAUACCCCUGGUAGUCCACGCCGUAAACGAUGAGUGCUAGGUGUUAGACCCUUUCCGGGGUUUAGUGCCGCAGCUAACGCAUUAAGCACUCCGCCUGGGGAGUACGACCGCAAGGUUGAAACUCAAAGGAAUUGACG
rnacentral:rRNA from 1 species